CCACCUCCUCUCCUUUCCUCCACUUCUCCCGUCUGCUUCCUUAAUCCUGUCCGCUCACCCUGCUCGCGCU
rnacentral:SRP_RNA from 1 species